UCCGGCUUAACGCCGGCAGUCUCCCUAGAGUGCCCAACUGAAUGGUGGCAACUAAGAACGAGGGUUGCGCCCGUUGCGGGACUUAACCCAACACCUCACGGCACGAGCUGACGACAGCCAUGCAGCACCUGAACCGGCAGUCCCCGAAGGGAAAAUCCUAUUUCUAGGACGGUCCACCGUUGUCUAGCCCAGGUAAGGUUCUUCGCGUUGCGUCGAAUUGAACCACAUGCUCCACCGCUUGUGCGGGCCCCCGUCAAUUCCUUUGAGUUUCAGCCUUGCGACUGUACUCCCCAGGCGGCAUAUUUAACGCGUUAGCUCCGGCACGGACAGAAUGAACUGCCCACACCAAGUAUCCAUCGUUUAGGGCUAGGACUAC
rnacentral:misc_RNA from 1 species